rnacentral:lncRNA from 1 species
AGGUGUUUAAGCUAUUCUUGAAGUAUAGUGCAUUGAAAUAACUCAGUAUGAUCCCCAGGUUCAUCUGGGCAACUCCAAGAAGGAUCGACAUUUUCAUCUUCAGUGAAUUGAGAAACGGCAGCUCGCUGCGGGUACCGUGCCAUACAGGCGCAAAACCCAAUGGCCAUACAGGGUCAACACCAAAUGGGUAAGUAGGGCGCACUUUGAUCAGACCCAUGGUUGUGGAAUCCCUGGAAUUCGAGCAAAAGAAAAGAUCCGAUACGAUUAGGCACAUGCAUAGGCAGCCGUACAUGAUUUUCAAUUAGUUUACAGACUCAGAAGGUAAA